GAUGAACGCUAGCGGCAGGCCUAAUACAUGCAAGUCGAACGAGAUUAAGAGGCUUGCUUCUUAUGAAAGUGGCGCACGGGUGCGUAACGCGUAUGCAACCUACCUUAAUCAGGGGGAUAGCCCGAAGAAAUUCGGAUUAAGACCGCAUAAAAACACAGGAUAGCAUUAUCCAAUGUUCAAAUAUUUAUAGGAUUAAGAUGGGCAUGCGUGUCAUUAGCUAGUUGGCGGGGUAACGGCCCACCAAGGCGACGAUGACUAGGGGAUCUGAGAGGAUGACCCCCCACACUGGUACUGAGACACGGACCAGACUCCUACGGGAGGCAGCAGAAAGGAAUAUUGGUCAAUGGAGGGAACUCUGAACCAGCCAUGCCGCGUGCAGGAAGACAGCCCUCUGGGUCGUAAACUGCUUUUAUUCGGGAAUAAACCUUUCUACGUGUAGGAAGCUGAAUGUACCGAAGGAAUAAGGAUCGGCUAACUCCGUG
rnacentral:rRNA from 1 species